rnacentral:rRNA from 1 species
CUACCAAGCCGACGAUCAGUAGCCGACCUGAGAGGGCGACCGGCCACAUUGGGACUGAGACACGGCCCAAACUCCUACGGGAGGCAGCAGUGGGGAAUAUUGCACAAUGGGGGAAACCCUGAUGCAGCGACGCCGCGUGAGCGAAGAAGUAUUUCGGUAUGUAAAGCUCUAUCAGCAGGGAAGAAAAUGACGGUACCAGAGGAAUCAGCAUCGGCUAACUCCGUGCCAGCAGCCGCGGUAAGACGGAGGAUGCAAGCGUUAUCCGGAAUGAUUGGGCGUAAAGCGUCCGCAGGUGGCAGUUCAAGUCUGCUGUCAAAGACCGGGGC